UGGAGUUGGUCUCCCCGAUGGUGGCCAUUAAAAGCGGGAGACUCUGUGUUCUCUUCUUGUCUUUCUGUGUAUUAUCUGUUGGCGAAACUUACCGUGUAGUCCUACAUUCUAGCCUUGUGCUUAUGUAAUGUACCAUAGUAGUCCGUUGAUUAUAGGGUAGCUGUAUAUAAGCCUAACGGUAGUUAGAAUUGGUAGCCUCGUGCUCUGUUAAUUGGUAGCCAAAAAACCUGUUGCCGUUUUUUGGGCAGUUAAAAGGUUUUUACCAACUUCUCAU
rnacentral:sRNA from 1 species